rnacentral:piRNA from 1 species
CAGAAGCUACUAAGUGAAAGGGCACCU